rnacentral:rRNA from 1 species
UGGGGAAUAUUGGACAAUGGGCGAAAGCCUGAUCCAGCAAUGCCGCGUGGGUGAAGAAGGUCUUCGGAUUGUAAAGCCCUUUCGGCGGGGACGAUGAUGACGGUACCCGCAGUAGAAGCCCCGGCUAACUUCGUGCCAGCAGCCGCGGUAAUACGAAGGGGGCUAGCGUUGCUCGGAAUGACUGGGCGUAAAGGGCGCGUAGGCGGCGCACUUAGUCGGGCGUGAAAGUCCUGGGCUCAACCUGGGGACGGCGCUCGAUACGGGUGUGCUUGAGUGUGGAAGAGGGUUGUGGAAUUCCCAGUGUAGAGGUGAAAUUCGUAGAUAUUGGGAAGAACACCGGUGGCGAAGGCGGCAACCUGGUCCAUUACUGACGCUGAGGCGCGAAAGCGUGGGGAGCAAAC